GACGUAGGGUGCGAGCGUUGUCCGGAAUUAUUGGGCGUAAAGAGCUCGUAGGCGGCGUGUCACGUCGUUCGUGAAAACCUGCAGCUUAACUGUGGGCGUGCGGUCGAUACGGGCAUCACUGGAGUUCGGCAGGGGAGACUGGAAUUCCUGGUGUAGCGGUGAAAUGCGCAGAUAUCAGGAGGAACACCGGUGGCGAAGGCGGGUCUCUGGGCCGAUAUUGACGCUGAGGAGCGAAAGCGUGGGGAGCAAACAGG
rnacentral:rRNA from 1 species